rnacentral:lncRNA from 1 species
CUCCCCCCAUGCAACAGCGUAACAUAGCGGGACGCGCCCGCGGAGGUGAGGCGGCGGCCCGGAGCGGGGCAGGAGGGGCUCCUGGACUGGAGGUGGCAGUUGCUGGGUUCCCGGCCGUAGAGGGCGGGGAGAGGACUGGGCUGUUCAGCGGGGUCUGGAGAGCGGCUCGGAGACUCCCGUCUCGAGAACUGCCUUCCUCCCUGGUCGCUCUCCGGGGAAUCGAGGCUCUUGCCUCUCCGGCUGCCGCGUGUUUCAUUUAGUUUCCGGCUUCCGUUCGUCUGCGUAGCCGCUUGUCUUACAGUCACGGUGCUUACUUACCACUUACGAGCAUUGGCUGUUGGUCGUCUCCCAGCAGGAGCUCAUAAGGUCUGGCAGUUGCUGACUGCUGCUGCCGGAAGCCCACUCGUGGAAGGAUCUGAGUACCUACAUAAUUCUCAGCUGGACUAGGGACAUAGCGCUGUUGGGGUUAGGAAGAUAAAUUAGAAAUUUAAAUUGCCCUUGCUUUAGUUUCCUAGGGCUGUGAUAACCAAGUAUCGCAAAUUUGGUGGCUUAAAACAACGCGUUUAUUAUCUUACAGUUCUGGAACCAGGAAGUCCGAAAUGAAGGUGUCAGCAGGAUUACGCUUCCUCUGAAACUCUGGGUAAAAUACUUCCUUGGCUUUUCCUAGUUUCCGGUGCUGUGCACCCAUCCUAGGAGUUCUUUGACUUGUAGCUGCAUCUUUUGGAUCUCUUGAAGUUUCUCCUAUGGUGUUUUUCUCUGUGUAUCUGUGUUUCUUCUUAAAAGGUCACAGCCUUCUUGGGCAAAGGGCCUACCUUACUCCUGAUCUUAACUAAUUACAUUUACAAUAACUAUUGCCAGAUAAAGUCACAUUCUAAGGUUCUGGGAAGGUCGUGAAUUGGGGGAGAGGGGCGUGACACUGACCAACAUAGUAUAGCUGUCAGAGAGCUUAAGGAGUUGGCAAGCCAAAAGCUGACAGUAAUUUGCUGUAGCACAUGUGAACUCAGACAUAGUUCAAUUGGAUCUGAGAACUUUUCAUGGGUAUUUGAACUAUUCCCUUGAUAGGUGGGUAGGAUUUGGAUGUGCCAUUGUAGAUCAUAUAUAGCAUUCUAAGCAAACAAAAAUCACAGGAAAGCACAGGUUGAAAUGUAAAAUAGGUUAAAGUUGGAAGGAUUUUGGGGCGCUCCGGGUGGCUCAGUCGGUUGAGCGUCCGACUUCGGCUCAGGUCACGUUCUCACGGCUAGGCUCGUGAGUUCGAGCCCCAAUUCGGGCCCUGUGCUGACAGCCAGAGCCUGGAGCCUGCUUCCGAUUCUGUGCCUCCCUCUCUCUCUGCCCCUCCCCAGCUCGUGCUCUGUCUCUCUCUUUCUCUUUCAAAAAUAAACAUUUAAAAAUUUUUUUUAAAAUAAAGUAGGAAGGAUCUUGAACGUUUGGAGUCUGUUGUGUAUGUAAAAUGAGCAGUAUAUCAAAGUGUUUUGGCAGAGGAGUUGUGCUUGAAGAUUAAUUAGCAACUGGAGUCAAACCUACUUUGUGUUUCUCAGUCCAUUUUAAGAAGUCUUAAAUCCUGGGGCACCUGGGUGGCUCAGUCGGUUAAGUGUCUGACUUCAGCUCAGGUCAUGAUCUUGCGGUUUGUGAGUUUGAGCCCCACAUCAGGCUCUGCUGACAGCUCAGAGCCUGGAGCCUGUUUGAGAUUCUGUGUCUCCCUCUCUCUCUCUGCCCUUCCCCCACAUACGCUCUGUCUCCCUCUCAAAAAUAAAUAAACAUUAAAAAAGAGAAAAAGAAGUCUUAAAUCCUAUUCUCUGAGCAUAUCCUGUGCUUUUUCAUCCUGGUCUUUGCUCAUGCUGUCCCUUCUUACUGGAGUGCUUCCAUUAAGGAGAGUUGUUCAGCUCAUAAUGUUAGCAUCCCCUUAAUACCAAAACCUGACAAAGAUAGCACCAGAAGAAAAAACUGCCCAACUCCCAUCAAUACAAAGCCCUAAAAUAAAAUAGUAGCAAAUUCAGUCAUGCCCUCCAUCUGGAAUGAAAGAUUUUAUCCCAGGAAUGAUUUAACGUUAGAAAGCCUGUUGCUAUAAAUCACUGUAUUAAUAGUUUAUAUGAGGUUAAAUCUGUAUGAUCUAUAUGAUCAUCUCGAGCGGUAAAGUGUUUUUUGCAAAUAUUCAAAACCUACUUUGAUUUCAAAGAAAACAUUGAGCAAAAUAGGAGGGGUGCCUGGGUGGCUCAGUCAGUUAAGCGUCUGACUCUUGAUUUCCACUCAGGUCAUGAUCUCAUGAUUGUGAGAUUGAGGCCUGUGUCAGCCUCUGUGCUGGAGCCUGCUUAAGAUUCUUCCUCUCUUUGCCCCUGCCUGCUCGUUUUCUCUCUCCCUCUCUCCUUCCCUCUCUCCCCCACCUCCCAAAAAUAAGUAAAUAAAACACUUAGCAAAAUGAGAAUAGACAAACAGCAACUUGAUAAAAGGCACUUAAAAGAAAUCUAUGGUAAAUGUCAUACUUAAAUGAUAAAACAAUAGAAGCAUUCUCUUUAAACUCAGGAAAAAAUGGAAUAUUUACUUUCACUUCUAAUAUUCAACAUGGUGCUAGCUUUCUAGCCAAAGUAAUAAAACAGGGAACAGACAAAAAUGUUAGGAAAGGAGGAAGUGAAAAUAUUAUUUUUGGAUAAUGUAAUUUUGUUUCUGGAAAAUGGAAAAGAAUGAAAUUACAAAAUUAUUAGAAUUAAAAGGUUCAGCAAAGUGGCUAAAUGAAUACAGAAACUUAAAUUUUUUUGUAUAUCAGUUAUAAAAUGGGGGGGGGGGGAAGAACCCAAUAUGAAUACACUGCACAAAAGAGACUUCUUUAUGAGAAAUAUGAAAUAUCAUUAAAAGACAUUAAGGGCGAGUAAAUGGACAUUUCAUGUUCCAGUAUGGAAAAUUCAGUGCUUUAAAUAUAUCAGUGUAUCAUAAAUUAAAAGGUUUUGGUACAGUACCUGCUAAAAUACUGAUAGAAUCUCCAAGUAAUUCUCUUUGAUCAAGUAUAUUAUUCUUUGGAUACACUGUUGGGUGCCAUUUAUUGAUACUUUAUAUAGAAUGUAUCUUUUAUUAGUGAGACUGACACGAAGGGGAGCUUUUUUGGUACUGUAUUAAUCAGAUGUUGAUAUUUAAAAUUAUACUAGAUCCCUUAAAAUAACUUUAGGGAGCAUUUUAUAUUUUACUACGUUCUGAAAUAAUUUAAGUGACUUUGGAAUUAUCUGCUCUUUUAAGACUGAAUAGAGAAAUCAAUUGCAAAAUCCUAUUAUAUGAUGUAGUUUUACAUGGUAGAAUUUAUAUAUAAUGUGUCCACUCUCUUCUGUGAUCAUUUAAAAAGUCAACUUUUUGGGUUGCUUGGGUGGCUCAGUUGGUUGAGUGUCUGACUUGAUUUGGGCUCAGGUCAUGAUCCCAAGGUCAUGGGAACGAGCCCCAUGUCAGGCUCUGUGUUGAGCAUGGAGCCUGCUUAAGAUUCUCCCUCUCCCUCUACCCCUCUCCCCAACUUGGGCGCGCGCUCUCUUUCUCUAAAAAUUAAAAAUUAAAAAAAAUUAAAAUUCAACUUUUCUGUGGGGGAGGGAUCAACCUUAAUUUGUAUUUUGCUUGGAAGUCCUCCAUUUUCAGCAGAUUUUCCAAAUUAGUUGUCAUUGUAUUGUGUAUAGAAUUCUCUUGUGAUUCUUACAGUCUGCUCUGCACAUGAGGUUGUUUUCUCAUUCCUAACCUUACAUAUUUUUGUUUUCUUUUUCUUGAACCAGGCUUGCAAGAGGAUUUGUCUCUUUUUGAAUGCUUUUCAACUCUUACUUACUGUCUUCUGUUUUCCAGUUUAAGUUUUUGUCACAGUUCCUCUUCCUACUCUCUUGUUCUUUUCCCAUUUCUUAAUAUUAGUCUAAGAGCCUUUAUUUUUUUAAGUUCUUUCAUUUUUAUUUCAUUUUUGAUGAAGACAUUUUAAGGCUAUAAAUUUGCCUCUAAAUACAACUCGUUCCAUAGUUUUUGGUAUAAAGUGUUCUCUUUUUCAUUGCUUUUUACAUAUGUUGUCAUUUUUUUCUUUGAUCUAAGAGUUAUCCAGGAUUGGAUGUCAUUUUUUCAAAUACUUAAGCUUUUCAAUCCAUUUCUUUCUUCAGUUUUAUUGAGAGAUAAUUGACAUACAUCACUGGGUAAGUUCAAGUGCACAGCGUGAUGGUGGUCAUGUUUGUAUUAUUUUCCAGUUUUGUGGUGACCAGAGAAUUAGAUUCGGUAUGUUUUAGUUAAGAUAUUCUUCUUUGGCAAGUACAUAAUCAAUGAUUACACAUUUCAUGGGUGUUAAAAUAUGUAUAUUUUCUACUUAGAAUUAAAAGUUUCUAUGCUAUAAAUAAGUAUGUACAUAAAUAAAUAAAAGUUCUAUGCGGGGGUGCCUGGGUAGUGCAGUCAGUUAAGCAUCUGACUUGGGCUCAGGUCAUGAUCUUGUGAUCUGUGAGUUCGAGCCCCCUCUUGGGCUCUGUGCUGGCAGCUCAGAGCCUGGAACCUGCUUCGGAUUCUGUGUCUCCCUCUCUCUCUGCCUCUCCCCUGCUUGUGCUCUGUUUCUCUCUCUCAAAAAGAAAUAAACAUGAAAAAAAAAAUUUUUUUUUAAGUUCUAUGACUCUUUCAUCAGGUUUACUGGUUUUAGUAUUCAGGUUUAUUGAUUUUAGAAUUUAGUUCUCUGAUACAUUUCCUAGGUCAGUCUGAUUCUAGAAGAGGUGUGAUUAAGAUUUCCACCUUGGGGCGCCUGGGUGGCGCAGUCGGUUAAGCGUCCGACUUCAGCCAGGUCACGAUCUCGCGGUCCGUGAGUUCGAGCCCCGCGUCAGGCUCUGGGCUGAUGGCUCGGAGCCUGGAGCCUGUUUCCGAUUCUGUGUCUCCCUCUCUCUCUGCCCCUCCCCCGUUCAUGCUCUGUCUGUCUGUCCCAAAAAUAAAUAAAAACGUUGAAAAAAAAAAAUUAAAAAAAAAAAAAAAAGAUUUCCACCUUAAAUGUAUUUUAAACAAUCUUUUUUGCAUUUCUGGAAGAUCUUUUUAUGUAUGUAACAUUAUGUCACUGGUUCAUACAAGACUGUGCCCUGUCUUUGUAAACUAUGCCUUCUAUAAGAUCCUUUUUAUCCUGUUUAAUGCUUUCAACUUAUGUCUGACCAAUAUCCCUUUCUCUGAUGUUUUUGUUUUUUUGUUUUUUAAUUUGAGAGAGAGAGCAAGUGGAGGGGGGGGUAUGCAGAGAGGGAGAGAGAAUCUUAAGCAGGCUCCACACCGUGGAGCCCAGCACAGGGCUUGAUCCCAUGACCCUGGGAUCGUGACCUGAGCCAAAAUCAAGAGUGCUCAACCGAUGCUCAACCGACUGAGCCACCCAAGUGCCCCUCCCCGUAUCUGAUGUUAAUGUUACCAUUCCUUCUUUUGUUUACUUCUGUCUGGUAAACUCAUAGCUCACCUCUUUAUUUUAAAUCUGUUCGUUUCUAGUAAAAGAAAAAAUUGUACAUGUAACAAAUGAUCAAUCUGGGUUAGUUUUUUCACCUGGAAAGCCUAGCAGUAACUAUGCAGAAGCCAGCUGCUGUGCUGAGAGGAUCUGCAGGUGCAUGGAGGCUUAGAGCUUGUACAGUUUUACGUUUCAAAAGGAAACUGAAUGUCACGUUGAUGUCAAACAGUAGUUCGCCAUAACGUGAUAGCGCUGUUGUCAAAUACUAAUUCGAGGAAAUCACAAGCGGAUUUGCGGGAAGUCGUGGAUUAUUGGACUUUGCCUUAGUAAAGAUUAUUUUCCUUCCAUAAGUAUUUCAGGUGUCCUGGGAAAGGUUCUGAGGUUACUAAAACCCAGGCCCGCUAUCUCCUUGCUUUCCCUUUCUCCCCUGCCAGAAAUCAGCCUGCCUCUUCACAUCCUGCCUCUGGGCUGCCCGCCUAUAGUUCUGAGUUACCAGAAGCUAAUAUGGUCUGAGGCCCAGCUGGGGCUUUUGCCGUGCAGGGGAGGAGGUUGUUAUUUGUACUGGAAGCCUGGAGGCGAGAGGGUGAGCUCGGGAGGGCUUGAGAACGGGAGGCAGAACACCUCCAUUCGUGUUAGUCUCUGGUCCUCCCGGUGAUAGCCGGCUGGGACUUCCGGGACCAAAAGCGCGUGGGCCCUCUUCACAGCUUCCCUCCGUUUCCCACGGAAGAGGCUGCAGGUUGGGACCAGUGCCGCUUCCCUCCCUCCCGCGGCUCUUCUUUCUACUUCCUGCCUCCGUCGGGAAUCACGUGGUCGGGUUUGAGUUCCUGUGAUCCACCUCCCUUCCGUCCUCUGUAACUCAGGGACCUGGAGUGGUGAGAGAAACGUUGGCAUCAGGCUUGGAAGACUUGCUUUGUAGAGAGCAAAGCGGAAGCGCAGAAUUACCUCUACCCCGUGACUGCGUGAGCUUUGUGGAAAGUGUUCCCAUAAUUCGUUACCUGUAAACUUGAAUCAGUGUUUGUUUGAUUUCUCUCAGUGCUGAGUAGAAUCUGAGAACAGGAGUGACACCUGGAUGAGUAAAGGUGGUGCAGACGGGGCACCCGGGUGGCUCGGCCGGUUUCGGCUCAGGUCACGAUCCCACAGUUGAGGAGUUCAAGCCCUGCGUCGGGCUCUGCGCUGAUGCCACUGAGCCUGCUUGGGACUCUCCGCCUCCCCUGCCCCUCCCCCGCCCCUCCCCCACUUGCACGUCUCUGUCUCUAAGUAAAUAAAUCAACUUUAAAAACAUUAGUGAAAAGAAGAGCAGCUUUCCCGUGUGAGAAAUACAGGGGAUGGUGCCCGGAUGCUUGGUGUGUGACAGUGUUUUUCAGAUGAAUUUCAGAUACUUGUGUAAACGUGGGGGCGUGAGGGAGACGAGAACAGAGCCCAUUUUGACAGCAGGUGCUGCCAGUGCGUGGGAAGAGCACUCAGGCAAGUGACUUAAGUGCCGCGUCCUUGUUGCAGUGAUGCUGAAGACGGGCGACUCCCGGCAAGCCGCCCCCACCCUCCCCUCACCACGAGAGGCAGCCUCUGCCUCGCCUCGGAUUUCAGUGUCGCACCCGCUGUCUACGCUGCUUCCACACACACCCUUCCCUCCUUCACCCUGUCGGAGGGUAGUGGUCUUCUCUCCAUCCGAGGCUAGCUUUUCCUUCCAUGCUCAGAUCCCCUCCUCACCCUCGCUUCCUCAUUGGGCUUUGUUUCCUCACCUGAUACUUAUUUUCUUGUCCUCCGAGCCCCAUCCAAAGAAUAUUUCUCUCUAGAUUUCUUUUAGGCAUUCAAAGUGACCAAUCCCUCCUUUAAAAAAAAAUUAUUGAGGGGGGCGCCUGGGUGGCUCGGUCGGUUGAGCGUCCGACUUGGGCUCAGGUCAUGAUCUCACGGUUGGUGGGUUCAAGCCCCGCGUCGGGCUCUGUGCUGACAGCUCGGAGCCUGGAGCUACUUUGGAUUCUGUGUCUCCCCCUCUCUCUGCUCCUCUUCCACUCAUACGCUGUCUCUCUCUCUCAAAGAUAAACAUUUUUUAAAACUUUUUAAAAAACUCUCUCAAAGAUAAACAUUUUUAAAAAAUUAAAAAAAAAAUCUCUCUCUCCCUCUGCCUCUCUCCCCCACUUGCACUCUCCUCUCUCUUUCUAAAAUAAUAAUAAUAAUAAACGCUAAAAAAAAAAGCCCAUCAAGAGUUGAUUCAAAUAUGCUCUUCAUGGAGCAAAAUACUAGGCAUUCAUUAAAAGUGACAUGAAUCUGGGGCGCCUGGGUGGCGCAGUCGGUUAAGCGUCCGACUUCAGCCAGGUCACGAUCUCGCGGUCCGUGAGUUCGAGCCCCGCGUCGGGCUCUGGGCUGAUGGCUCAGAGCCUGGAGCCUGUUUCCGAUUCUGUGUCUCCCUCUCUCUCUGCCCCUCCCCUGUUCAUGCUCUGUCUCUCUCUGUCCCGAAAAUAAAUAAACGUUGAAAAAAAAAAAAAAAUUAAAAAAAAAAAAAGUGACAUGAAUCUAUUUUUGGCAUCAAUAACUUGCCAAGAUGACUUUAAAAAAAAAAGUUUCAGGGGUACCUGGGUGGCUCAGUCAGUUAAGCAUCUGACUCUUUGUUUUCAGCUCAGGUCAUGAUCUCCUGGUUCAUGAGAUCAAGCCCCACAUCAGGCUCUGUACUGCCAGUGUGGAGCCUGCUUGGGAUUCUCUCUCCCUCUACCCCUUCCCUGCUUGCGUACUCAUACACACACAUGCUCUCUCUUGAAAUAAGCAUUAAAAAUAAAUAAGUUAUAAAGCAACGAGUUAUGAAAGUAUAGGUAUAUAUACGUGACCGAGAGAAGAGCCCAAUUAUAACACUGGUUAAUUCUGACAAGUAAUAUCCAAAGCUCUUUGUUUCUGUCUCUUUAAAAAUCUCUGUGUUUUCUCAACUUUUUAAAAAAUAGUAUGUUUUACCUACCAGAAUAUAUAUAAAUUGAUCUGUGGAGCAAUAUCAUGACUGCCCUUAUACAUAAACUUUUGCGUACAUCUUGACGUUUUUAAGUACCCAUGUUUACUUGGUGAGGAGAACACAUACGAGAAGCUUUAAACAUGUAUUUUCAGAUUUCCUCUCUGGAAGGAAUGCAGAUAAAUAUUCACCAGCAGUAUUUGACCAUGCUGGUUCCCUAGGCCCUCACUGGACCCUGGGAGUGAUAGAUACAUCACUCGUUUCCUGCUUGGCCAGUUUGAUAGGUCAUCACUUCUGGUUGCUUUCUGUGAUGUGUGUCUCAUCUGAUUGGCAUUCAGAGAGUCACCCCUUUCACACUGGUGUUUGUAAACUCCUCAGAGUUGUGCUUUCCUCUUAGUCUCUGUUGUCUGCAUUUUUUUUUUUUUGGGCGGGGGGGGGGCUGGGUCCUUUUUUUUUUUUUUUNNNNNGGGGGGGGGGGGGUCUGGUUCCUUUUUUUUUUUUUUUAAUUUAUUUUAAUCUUUAUUUAUUUUUGAGAGAGACAGAGACAGGGUGCAAGCGGGAGAAGAACAGAGAGAGAGGAAGACACAGAAUCCGAUGCAGGCUCCAGGCUCAGAGCUGUCAGCACAGAGUCUGACAUGGGGCUCGAACUCAAGAACCUCGGGUUUAUGAAGUCGGACGCUUAACUGACUGAGCCACCCAGGCGCCCCUGUCUGGUUUAUUUUCUUAUGAGUAGUUAUCAAAAGAAUCAUUUUGAUAUUUGGAGCCCUUCUGUACCCAGUUCAAAAGUGUGAUAACUAAAAUAGUAAAUUCUUGAAUUCACUUGUUCAGAUCUCAAAAUCAUUUUUCCUCUAGUUAAGGCAGAACAGGGAGAGAAUUAGGAGUUUGAGCUUUACUGUUAGGCUGCCUGGGCGAAAAUCUUAGCGCUAUGACAGCAUACCAGCUGUGACCCUAGUCUAGCUAAAGAACUACGCCCGGUUCCCUCACCUGCGUGUGACACAGUGCCGGCACAGAACGAGCUCUCGAAUUGUUUGUUACUGCAAUCAUUACUGUUAUAAGAAGGGACACUCUUGAGUAGGUACAAUGGACUGAAAUGUGCCCUCUCCCCCAAAAAUGUAUAUGUUGUUUGUGUGCUUGCUUGAAAUGUUUUAUUUUAUUAUUUUAAAAAAAAAUUUUUUUAGCAUUUAUUUAUUUUUGAAACAGAGAGAACAGAGCAUGAACAGGGGAGGGUCAGAGAGAGAGGGAGACACAGAAUCUGAAACAGGCUCCAGGCUCUGAGCUGUCAGCACAGAGCCCGACGCGGGGCUCGAACUCACGAACCUUGAGAUCAUAACCCAAGCUGCGGUCCAAUGCUUAACCAACUCAGCCACCCAGGUGCUCUGGGAGAUAGCUGGUUUAAAUGAGGUCAGGAGAGGGGGGACCUUAUGAAGGGAUUAGUGCCUUUAUGAGAAAAGACAGCAGAGGUCUCUCCUCCGCAACCUUGUGAGGAGACAGGAAAGAAGCUGUCUGCAAACCCGGAGGAGAGUCCAGCAAAACUCAGUGAUGCUGGCCCUCUGAUCUUACAACUUGCAGCCUCUAGAACCGUAAGAAUUAAGUGUCUGUCGUUUGAGCCAGCAGUUCAUUGGUAUUUUGUUAGAGCGGCCUGAGUUGAUUAAAACAUACAGUUUUGUAGGGUGCCUGGGUGGCUCGGUCGAUAAGCGUCCGACUUGAGCUCAGGUCAUGAUCUCACUGUUUGUGGGUCGGAGCCCUGCGUCGGGCUCUGUGCUGACAGCUCGGAGCCUGGAGCCUGCUUUGGAUUCUGUGUCUCCCUCUCUCUCUGCUCCUUUGCCGCUCGUGCUCUUGCUCUGUCUCUUCUCUCAAAAAUAUAAGUAAACAUUAAAAAAAGAGAAGUACAGAAUUUCCUAAAUCACAAAAUCAUCUUUCAAAAAAAAAUGUAAAAAAAAAAACCCAAAAACCCCAUACAGUUUUGUUAUCACUGAGCGUGCAGCCUGGAGUUGUAGGUGAGAAAUAAAAGGAGUAAUGAUGAUAGAGCACGAGGUGUGUUUGGAAUGCAGGUGAAGUACAGAACACACAGUGACUGACCUCCACGCUUCUCUUGUGCCCGUGUUUGCCUUCUAGACUGUUCCUCAUUGGAAAACAGCAGUGAACUAGUGUUUUCCCAAGGAGCAAGAACUUGAUCCACCUGAAUUUGACUGCUAAUUUUGUGGAAUAUUAUGGAAUGAAGCUCCUGUGAGGCUUUGAGUCAUUCUGACUAUAAAAUGCAGGAUACGAUGCAGACUGUGUUCUGCAGCGUUCCAUCUAGGUGGCAUUUAGAAUGUAGGGAUUCUGUUAAUGGAUGAGAAAGCUGGAGUCCGUAUCUAUUUAGAAAAGGUUCAGUUCUGGGGCGCCUGGGUGGCGCAGUCGGUUAAGCGUCCGACUUCAGCCAGGUCACGAUCUCGCGGUCCGUGAGUUCGAGCCCCGCGUCAGGCUCUGGGCUGAUGGCUCGGAGCCUGGAGCCUGUUUCCGAUUCUGUGUCUCCCUCUCUCUCUGCCCCUCCCCCGUUCAUGCUCUGUCUCUCUCUGUCCCAAAGAUAAAUAAACGUUGAAAAAAAAAAAUUAAAAAAAAAAAAAAGAAAAGGUUCAGUUCUGAAUGACGCGUUUUUUCUAGUGGAGUUUUGAAUAAGUCUUUUUUUUUUUUAAUUUUUUUUUUUUAACAUUUAUUCAUUUUUGAGAGUAAGAGACAGAGCAUGAGCAGGGGAGGGGCAGAGAGAGAGAGGGAGACACAGAAUCCAAAGCAGGCUCCAAGCUCCGAGCUGUCAGCACAGAGCCCGACGCGGGGCUCGAACUCACAGACCGAGAGAUCGUGACCUGAGCUGAAGUCAGACGCUCAACCGACUGAGCCAUCCAGGCACCCCUGAAUAAGUCUUGUCAUCGUUCUAAUACUAGUUUUUCUUCCACCAAAUUCCCCCUGAUUCUUUUUUUUUUAAUUAAAAAAAUUUUUAAUGUUUUUAUUUAUUUUUCAGACAGAGAGAGACAGAGCAUGGGCAGGGGAGGAGCAGAGAGAGAGGGAGAGACAGAAUGCGAAGCAGGCUCCAGGCUCUGAGCUGUCAGCACAGAGCCCGACGCAGGGCCCAAACUGGACUGUGAGAUCAUGACCUGAGCUGAAGUCGGACGUUUAUCCGACUGAGCCACCCAGGCACCCCAAAGUCCCCCUGAUUCUUGAGAGUUUUCUUAUUGUGUAAAAGUGCUUCCUUUUUGGUUAGUAAAUCAGUAUUAGGGUAUUAUGAGAAAAAUUAAAAUGUUUCAACCCACAACUUCCUUAGAUUAAUACCAACUAUUUUAAGGUUUAUUUGUUCUGUAUGUGAACAAUUUCAUACGCUUGUUUAUUAAUAUUAUUUCAGUGACUCAUUUUAAUAUUUCUGUGUAAAAUAUCCAUGUAAUCUAUAAAGCCACAUUAUCUCCAAAAGAGUGUUGGUAAUAUGCAAUAUGUGUGGCCAGUGGGUGCCAGUCUGACCAUUCAAACCAGGGCCCAGGAGAGGAUCUGGUCUGUCCACCAAAGUUUAAGGUCCAGCCUUCAUUUUUAGGCUAAUAAGCUCAAGGUUUACAGUUAUUAGAGGGGAUUUUAUUUUGAGAGAUUGAUUGUAAUUAAACAAUUUGGCAAGACAGGUGUAAAAAUUCUAGACUAUAAAUGAAUGUAAAUAGAAGGGAGAGGAGAUUUGGAAUAUUUUAAUUUUCUGAUUAAAGUCAUUUUCCUCUGGAAGGAAAACCUCCUGGGAACUUUGGGGUGACUAGAUGAUCAUUUACUUAGGGGGAGAGUUUGAUGAUUUUAAACAUAGGCCAUAAAACUGCAACAUACAAACACAUGUAAUAAAGACUGUUGAUCAGAGACUCUUGGGGUCUCUUCCCCCCCUGCUGCCUGAGAUGUUCACCAGGAUUCUUCACUACUUCCUGGGCUGAUUGUUUUCCCCACAGUGGUAAUGAGCUGGGAACUUACUAGGAGAUACACUAGAGUACAAACUAUAGCCUGGAAGUUUUACAAGUGUGAACUUAGCAGGUGUGAAGUCUUUCUUCCCAAGAAUAUCUUCAAGAGGGGCAGACUAAGAGCGGCAAACAAAGCGGCAACAGGAUUAAUAGGAAAGGGUAACUGAAGGACAGGACCUAGAGCCAGUGUGCUGGUUGAUGCAGAAUGACCAGGUUCGCUGCAGCCGUCACUCAACUAAACCUACAUGCAAACAAAAGCUGGAGGACUGUUCCUGGAAGAAACGUGAAUGAGCUGCUUGAGGAGGGCCCCAGCUUGCAGCGAAGGAAAGCCCUUCUCACUUGGGCAUUUGGAAGGCUCCUCCUUCCUGCUCUCUGCCCGUGUACCCGUAAGUGAAGUCUCCCAUGUGAUAGUCCUGUAUGAGUGCGUACCUCACGUUGUCCUUCCCAUUCCUCGAGGAGGCCCGCUGGAGAAUUCUGGAGAAUUUGAACUCCCAGUGGCAGAAGAGACUCAGCCAGCCACCCAGAAGCCGGGUCCUUUGUUUUUAUGUAAUUUCUUUUAAAUGUUCAACUGAGAUUUACUACACCUGAAGAAAACCAAUGGCAGGUAAGAAAAAGACCUUAUUGAGCAAAGAGCUGGCCCAAGAGAGUAAGUGAAAAACUUUAGUAUCUACAGAAAGAUUUGAAGAUACUGCACCAUAAAUCAAGAAUAGGUUACCAUGGAAAAGGAAUAAUGAAAAAGAGUGGUUAGAAAUUUAAGAUGAUUGUCAAAAUAAACAUUUUCUAGUACUGGAAUAAAAAAUACAGUUUUCCCAAAAAGAUAAUUAGAAAAAAGAUAAGACGUCAGUCUAUAAAUCUACCAAAUAACUGAAAGAAUUUAAGAAGGAAAAAAUCGGGAAAAAAUGGAGGAAAAGAAAUCAUAGAAGGAUGAUAGUUUGGAUAAUUAGAGAUACACAUCUUUUUUACUGAAAAGUUGCUAAGCAUAGUGAAUUUAAGCAUUGUCUGUCUGUCUCACACACACUGCAAAUCCUUGCAAGAUUUUGGAAUACUAAAGAUAAUAGCCUGAAAGCAUCCAGAGAAGGAAAACAGAAGUUACCUAAGAAGGAGUGAGAAUCAGACUGGCCUCUGUUUUCUGGUCAGCAGAAAUGUGUGCUAGAAGAUACUGCAGCAGACGUUCAAAGUCCAGACAGAAAGGGUUUUUGAUACAGAAUUCGACACCCAAACAAUUAAGUAGAAAAUUGAAAAAGAUAUCUCAGAUAUGCAAAAAUUCACAUUUACUUCACAUCUACAUCUUUGUGCAAUUACUUAGUAUACUUUGGAGAGAAUAAGACAUCUAGUAAAAAGGACUCCACCCUAGGAAUGCGGUGGAAAAAAAUCCUAGGAUACCAGCUAUGUAGCAAGCCUGAAAAAUAAUGGGUUCACAUUAGAACAGGAUCCCAAAGGAUCAGAAUUCCUUGAAAGAAAAAGCGGAUUCCUGUUAAACAGUAAAAGUAAGAGGCUGGAUGAUCAUCACCAAAAGAGGAAAUAGCAUAUACUUCGUUUUGUCAAAUAAAAGGUUAUUAGAAACUCCAGGGAAAGCAAAGUUUUAUAAGGACAUGUUAGUCCGAGUACAAAAACUAAAGUGUAGCAUGAUUAUCAGCAACUGCUAGAGUGUAAAAAGAUUCGAUUUGACCUUGAUCCUUGAAGUGGUCAUUUUUGUGCGUGUGGCACAAGUUUAGUGACAGAGGAUUACAUUUCUUUCUCUAUGGAUCUAAUCUUAUUCCUUGGUUCUGCAGUGAAUCAUACAGAAGUACAAUCUCAAAUGCUAUAUACUCAAUUUGAAAUUUCAGAAUCUAUAUAUAAAAUACAGGAAACAAAAUGACUCCACUGUGUAAAGAUCAAAGUAAUAUAACCAAUAAGGAUAAAAGAGGUGCACAAAAGUUGGAAGAUGAUUUCCUCAUAUAGAAGUCAACAGAUCCAGGGCACCUGGGUGGCUCAUUAGGUUAAGCGUCAGGCUCUUGAUUUUGCCACAGGUCAUGAUCUCAUGGUUCAUGAGAUCAAGCCCCACAACAGGUUCUGCACUGACAGCAUGGAGCCUGCUUGGGAUUCUCUCUCUCCCUUUCUCUUUUCUCUCCCCCUCUCUCUACCCCUUCCCCCUGCCCCGUCUCUCUAAAUAAAUAAAUAUUUUAAAAAGUCAAGAGGUCCAUCUACUGUCAUAUCAAACUAAAGUAUUGAAAUGAGAAAAGCAGUGUAAAAUAGUUUGGGGCGGGGGGGGGGGGAGCCUCAGUGGACUCACUGAGUUGAAGACACGGUGCUCAGAGUCUCAGGAGACCAAGGCAGCCAGAGUUUAUGGGACAGCGAGCCGUGGAGGAGAGGACUGGGUAGGUAAAUGUAGAGAUCGGCAGACGGUUCAUACUGAGUGUUCACAGAGUACUGAUCAGCUCGUGUGUGAGGAAACCUGAUGUCAGAAAAAGAACAACUUGAGAGGGUUUGACAUCAGUGCUACAGGGCCCAAAAUAGCACCUGUUCCCACCACCAAGACUGGAAAAACCCAUUAGGCAUUGGGGAGAGUACUGAAAGAGUACUGAAAGUCUUGCUUUGGGGCACCUGGGUGGCUCGGUCGGUUAAGCAUUCAACCCUUGAUUUUGGCUCAGGUCAUGAUCUCACAGUUCAUGAGAUCAAGCCCUGUGUCAGGCUCUGUGCUGACAGCAUGGAGCCUGCUUGGGAUUCUUUGUCUCUCUCUCUCUCUCUCUCUCUCUCUCUCUCAUCUUCUCUGUAUCGUUCCAAUUUUAGUAUAUGUGCUGCCGAAGCUAGCACUGCUUCUCUCUCUCUAAAUAAAUAAGCAUUUUUUUUAAAGGUCCUGCUUCAUUAGUGGGGAAUAAUUAUCCUUAGGCUAAAUACAGUUCUAGUCCCACCCAACAAAUCUUAAAAAUAAGAUCAGAAAAGGAUCAGUUUCCAAAUAACUACAUCUUAAAACUGUUUCAAAGCUCUAAAAAUUUUGUAGGAACAUAAAAAUAUCCAGCAGUUAAUGUAAAAUUCACAAUGUCUGGCCCGGCUGGCUCGGUCAGAAGAGCACGUGACUCUUGAUCUCAGGGUUGUGAGUUCAAGGCCCACAUUGGGUGUAGAGUCAUUUGGGUGAUUCAGUCUGUUGAGCAUCCAGCUCUUGCUUUUGCCUCAGGUCGUCAUCCAAGGGUCAUGGGAUCAAGCCCCCAUUGAGCUCCACGCUGAGUGUGGAGCCUGCUUAAGAUUCUAACUCUGCCCCUCCCCCACUUGCACAUGCUCUCUCUCUAAAAUGAAAAUAAAAUUCACAAUGUCUAGCAUCUUAUCAAUGAUUAACAGGCUGAACAGUAUCAGCUAUCGGAUAACUUCGAAUGGCCUAAUAUACUUGUAAUUUGAAUUCCUAAAAGAGAUAAGAAAGAGGGGAGGAUAUAUUUGAGGAAAUAACGACCACAGUUUUCCCAAAUGGAUGAAUAUUAUAAACCUAUAGAUUGAAGCUCAGUGAGCACCCAAGAACAAGAAAUACACAAAAAUAUAUACCAACCACAUCAUAAUCAAAAUUUUUAAAACCAGUGAAAAAAAUCUGAAAGCUGUCGGGGUCAAGGGGUGUGUGGAUAGGGGCAGAUCCUACAUAUAGAAGAACAAAAGAAAACAGCCAAGUUAGACUUCUAUACCAAUUCUAUACCUUAUUUCAAAAACAGGUGAAAUGAAGACUUUAAAUUUUUUUUUUUUUUUUUUUAGAGGGCACAUGUGAGCAGAAGAGAGGGACAGAGAGAGUCUUAAGCAGGCUCCAUGCUGCCGGUGCACAGCCAGACACGAGGCUCGAUCUCACAAUCCUGGGAUUAUGACCUGAACUGAAAUCAAGAGUCAGACACUUAACCAACUGAGCCACCCAGGUGCCCCAAGACUUACUCAGACAUACUAAAGACAUAGCAGCAUACCCUCCCUACGACAGACAUCGAAGUCAUUCAGGCACAAGGAAAAUAGCACCAAAUGGGAACCUAGAUCUCCUUGAAGAAAUGGAAAAGCAUGGCAGCUACGUGUGUAUUUUUUUCUGAAACAAAACCUGACAUUUUUUUAGAAAGAGCCAAGCUGUUCAUAUGUCACUACAAAACUGAAACAGAGUUCUUCUUGAUUUCUGUUUGGAAUAAGGUAUGGAUCAUUGUAUCCUGUGGUGUCACCUCCUUAACUGAGCAGAAACAUCUAGAAAGUCAUAUCUGUGACUUCAGCUACCAGUUAGUGAUACCCACCCCUUCAUGAACCUGGAGUAUAAACAGUGGUGGGAGGCAAAUGUUUUCUCUUAAUAUUUUUUCAUUGUUUUAUUUAACUUGUUUCUGUGAUAAUGAAAUGGACAAAUUAUCUCCUCUUUGCUCCAAGUGAUAAUUUUUUUAAUGUGUAUUUGCUUUUGAGAGAGAGCAGGGGAGGGACAGGAAGAAGGGGGCACAGAGGAUCUGAAGCGGGCUCUGCGCAGUCAGCAGAGAGCCCCACAGGGUCUCAAACUCACAAACCGCAAAUCAUGUCCUGAGCUAAAGUCAGAUGCUUAACUGACUGAGCCACCCCAGCUCAGAUAAAAUUUUAAAAUAAUCGGUUCUCCAAUGUUUCUGGGACCCCCAAUCUGUUCUGUUAGUCAUUUUGUUUAAUCUUGCACCAGUACCAUACUGUCUUCAUUACUAUAGCUUUGGACUUGGUAUCCAGUGGGAUAAGUCGUCCAACCUUAUUCUCAAGAGUCCCUUAGUCGCUCUUGGCCCUUUGCUCCUCUGUACAUGUUUUGUUGGAGUCUGACAGUUUUCACAAAACAGAGGUGGAGUUGUGAGUUGUGUGUCAAAUAGGAUUAGAGGGAAAAUUUCUGCUUAAACUAUUUUUUUAAUGUUUAUUUUCAAGAGAGAGAGGGAGAGAGAGCGUGAGCAGGGGAGAGGCAGAGAGAGAGGGAGACACAGAAUCCGAAGCAAGCUCCAGGCCCUGAGCCGUCAGCACAGAGCCCGACGCGGGGCUCAAACUCACGAGCCAUGAGAUCGUGACCUGAGCUGAAGUCGGACACUCAACCCACUGAGCCACCCAGGCACCCCUUAAACUAUUUCUUAGGUGCAAAUAAAUAGUGUAUGUGUACUAUAAGCUUUAUUUAUUCUAGGUUUGUCUUUUUUUUUUUUAAUUUUUUUUUUCAACGUUUUUAUUUAUUUUUGGGACAGAGAGAGACAGAGCAUGAACGGGGGAGGGGCAGAGACAGAGGGAGACACAGAAUCGGAAACAGGCUCCAGGCUCCGAGCCAUCAGCCCAGAGCCUGACGCGGGGCUCGAACUCACGGACCGCGAGAUUGUGACCUGGCUGAAGUCGGACGCUUAACCGACUGCGCCACCCAGGCGCCCCAUUUAUUUUUUUUUUUAAUUUUUUUUUUUUUAGGUUUGUCUUUUUUAAGAUUUUCACAGGGUACUCCAUUUCGGGUUCACAUACGGUUUUUCUGAUUACUUUCAAGACUUUAGUUUGGGUCAUUGCUUACCUGUGUGUCUUCACUGAAUGUUUGAGGGACGUUUUGCACUUCUGAUUGUGACAAGUUUGCCUCUGUUCUUAACCACAAACAAAAAUCUCACAAAUACAAAGGUGGCCCAGAGUACCUUGGAGCCUGAAAGGGUGGCACAUUUGUGUAAGGCUUUGAAUCGCCCAGAGUGUAACCUGUGCAUACUCAGGUAAGUCCCAGCUGUUGCGCUGGAGAAUGUCUCCAGUGAAAAGGUGGUCAGUCUUACAGCGGCCCGUCAUGCUGACGGUGUCCUCUGGGGGUUGCAGUGGACAAUCCCCUCCCUUUGUUCCUCCCUCCGGUAGACUGGCCAGUAAAGCCAGGUCGAUAACAAAUAGUUAAUGGGCUUUAAGAAGAAGAGAUAAACUUACUAAACAAAUGUAAAACCUACCUCUCAGACUCCAGGAUCCCUCAUUUCACUCAAAACCCAAACAUUCAGAAUUUUAGCAUUCAGAUGUUCUCAUAUGUGUGCAGAGAAGAUCCAGGAUGGUAAGGAGUUCUCUGUCCUCCUGAGACCUCAGAGCCACAAAAGCAAAUGCAGGAAUUCCACAGAAGCACCCUGAAGGUUUCCCCAAGUUCAACACAGAUGAAUCAGUCUAUUCAGAUACACAUACAUUCACGGUUAGUUACAUACAGAUAAAAGCUCAUUCUCUUUUGAAAGGACCAAGUGACGGCAGUUGUUUGUGAUAUAACACUGUUGUAGAGGAAAGGUGGUUCUUACUUGCUUUAGCUUGUUCCUUGGCUGGGCAGUGGGGGGUUCUUGGCAUUCCACUGGAGGCAGGAACCAACGGUGGGGUGAGGAGAGUAACUCAGUCAAGAUAAGGGGAUGGACAAAUCCUCUGUGCUUGAGAGGCUAUGAGAAGGGUCACUUGGUGAGAACAAACUCCGCAGGUUUGUUUGGAUGCUGUGAAGUCCCACCAGGGUGCCUGGUGAGUCAGUUGAGCGUCCGCUCUUGAUUUCAACUCAGCUCAUGGUCCCAGGGUUGUGGAAUUGAGCCCCGAGUCGAACUCCACACUGGGCAUGGAGCCUCCUUAGAAUUCUCUGUCUCUCCCUCUGUGCCUCUCCCCUGUUCAUCCUCUCUCUCAAAUUAAAAAAAGAAGUCCCACCUGACUGUUGAGGAAGAUACUGGUGAUGAUCUUCCUGAUUUGAAGGCCUCUAAAUGUCUUCUCUUGGAAUGAUUCUGGAUAGAGAUGAAAUGAAAGCUAGAAAUGAAGCUUUAUCUGUAACAAGCCAGGACCGAAACCUCAUGAAGGUGUAUGUUGUGCUCUCUCAACAGCCCGAUCAACCAAAUGGACUGUAGUUGCUCUGCAUUGUUACCCAUGAGGUUCAACCAUCAGAACAUUUGGGGUUUGGUCCUGGCUGUGCACUUCGAACCUUGAAAGAGACCCUUUAAAGUCAUUCUAAAAUGCUUGUCUGUACUUAUUCUUUGAGAGGAUCAAGUAAGUUAAUGUUCUAGCACUUUGAAAGAGUAUGAGGUGGUAUUUACCCUUGGACAUGAAUCAAUAGAGUAGAAGAAACUUUAACCCUUAACCGACUUUGAUUAGGAAGGGAGAUUUGAAAGGAUGUCCGGGCACAACCCAAUUACAAGGAUUCUCAAGUGUCAGUCACCUCAAUCUCUCCUUUAUGUCUCGUUUUAUUGUGCCUGGCACGGCCUUAGUUAACACAUUGAUCUUUUAAUCCAUUUGCCUUCAUCCAGCCAUCCCCAAAAGCCUGCUUUCCCAGUUUCCAUUAUCUUUCACACUGGCCACUAGUAAUUCUCUAGAACUUACUUAAUUACAAAAUUCCUAUUCCAGUAGCUCCUUAGGGGACUACGAGAUAGAUCACAUUCUCUCUGUGGUAUAUAAGGCUUCUUCCCGUCUACCUGUUGGGUACUUACAAACGCUAAGUUAAUAUGUCUGACACCUAGGAUUUAAUAUAUCUAGUAUGAUGAUUUACAUAAGAGUAAUAAUAAUUUGUUAUAAAUGAUUAUAGGCAUAUAGAGAAUAUAUACUUUAAUAUACAAAAAUAUAUAAUAUAUAAAGUAUGUUAAGUAUAAAUAUAUUUUUAAGUUUAUUUAUUUUGAGAGGGAGAGGGAGAGAGAACAGCCAGGGGAGGGGCAGAGGGAGGGAGAGAGAAUCCCAAGUAGGCUCUGUGCUUAAUCCCACGAACUGUGAGAUCAUGACCUGAGCCGAAAUCAAGAGUCAGAUACUUAGCCUGCUGAACCACCCAGGCACCCAUAAAUAUAAAUAUAAAUAUAAAUAUAAAUAUAAAUAUAAAUAUAAAUAUUUUAAAUAAAAAUAAGUUAUAUAUAUAAUUAACUCCAUUUUCAAGCCCUUUCCUCUCUGUAGAGAACGAGAGAUGGGGCUGAAAUGUCCAAGCUUCUAACCAUAGCCUGGUCUUUUGGGGUGACCAGCCCCCCUCCAGAAGGCCACCAAGACUCACCUCAUUAGAACAAAAGACAUUGCUAUCACUUGUGAAGGGAUCCAAGGGAUUUAGGAACUGGAGUCAAAGGCCAAAUAUCAAAACAAAAUGUGGUAAUAGUUCUCUUACCACAUAGGAAUCCACAAAAGGAUUUUAGGAUUGCUGUGUCAGGAAUGAGGGACAGGGACCAAUAUAUGUCCUUUCUGUUAUCUCACAUUUACCGUUUACUAACACUUAGCCCAAAUCCCUUUGUCUUGUCAAUUCGUGACAAAUUUAGUAUUUCUUUGUCUAAAAGACUUAAAGCUUCCCUCCCUGGUCACUUUUUCAGGUCUCCAUUCUUUUGUGAAGGCCCCCUUGUACAUGUAAAAAUGUAAUAACAUUUGUAUGCUUUUCUCCCGCUAAUCUGUUUUAUAUUAGUUUUAAUUUUUUGGUCCAGCCAGUGACCCUAAGGGUAGAAGAGAAUUUUUUCCUCCCUUACACUAACAUCUUCAGUACAGUGUUGACUAGAAGCAGUGAUAGCAGGCAUCCUUGUCUUGUUCUGAUUUUGAAAGGAAGCUAUAUUAAUUCGCUGCUGUAACGAGGUACCACAAAUCGGGUGGCUUAAAUAAUAGGAAUUUAUCAUCUCGCAUUUCUGGAGGCUGGAAGUCCAAGAGCCGGCGGUCAGCAGGACUGGUUCCUUCUGAGACUGCGAGGGGCAAUCUGUUCCAUGCCUCUCCUGUAGCCUCUGGUGGUUUAUUGGCAACCUUUGGUGUUACUAGGCUGUAGACACAUCACCCUGACUUCUGCCUUCAUGUUCAUGUGACGUUCUCACUGUGUGGUUGUCUGCCUCUGUGUCCACAUUUCCUCUUUGUGAGGACACCAGUUCUAUGGGAUUAGGACUCACCCUAAUGGCCUCCUAUUAACUAAUUACAUCUGUAAUGACCCCAUUUCCAAAUAAGGUCACGUUCUGAGAUAUUGGUUUUUGUGGGACACAAUUCAGCCCAUGAGAAGCUCUGACACUUUGCUAUUAAAUGUAUUUGCCACGAUAACCUUUACUAGGUAAGUUCUUUUCCAUUUCCAGCUUGCUUAAAAGCUGUUAUCAUAGAUGUUAACCUUUAGUCAAUGUUUUUAUGUACUUAAUGAGAUUUACUAUAUGGCUUUUCAUAAUCUGCAGUGAUUUAUUCUAAUAGCUUUUCUAUUUUAGUCCAUGCCUGACUUUUCAGAAUAAACCCAAAUUGAUCAUGAUUUUAAUACAUUAUUGCUAAUAAUAUUUUAGAAGACAGUUUCUGCAUCUAUGUUCAUAAGAAAGAUUGGCCUAUAAGGUUUAUUGUUGUUAUUAUUGUUACUGGAUUGCCUUUGCUUUUAAUAUUGUUAAAAUGGCCCCAUGAAGUGAGGUGGGGACUAUGACAGAGAUUGUUAGUUGUUUCACGUUGGGAUGUUGAAAAUGUUCUGGAGAUGGAUGGUGAUGAUGGUUGCAUGACAGUAUGAAUGUACUUCAUGCCACUGAACUUACACACUUAAAAAUGGUUAAAAUGGUGUGGUGCCUGGGUGGCUCAAUUGGUUAAGCAUCUGACUUCCUUUUUUUUUUUUUUUGGCCCAGGUCAUGAUUUCAGAGUUCAUGAGCUCAAGCCCUACGAUGGGCUCAGACAGCAUAGAGUCUGCUUGAGAUUCUUUCUCUCUCUCUCUUUCUCAAAAUAAAUAAAAAUUUUUAAAAAAUAGUUAAAAUGGUAAAUCCUAUGUUAUGUAUGUUUUACCACACACGCAUACAAAAACCCUAUCCACAGCUAACAUCCUACUUAACGAUGAAGGACUAAAAGCUUUCCUCUUAAGAUUGUGAAUAAAACAGGCACGUUUGUUCUUGCCAUCCUUAUUCAGCAUUGUACUGGAGAUUCCAGGCAGGGCAAUUAUGAAAGAAAAAGGCAUCUAGAUUAGAAAGGAAAAAAUAAAACUGCCUCUAUUUAAAGAUGACAUGGGGCGCCUGGGUGGCUCAGUCGGUUAAGCGUCUGACUGUUGAUCUCAGCUCAGGUCUUGAUCUCAGUGUUGUGAGUUCAAGCCCCUCAUUGAGCUCCAUGCUGGGUGUGAAGCCUACUUUAAAAAAAAAAGUGACCUGAUUUAUAUAUAGGAAAUUCUAAAGACACACACACACACACACACACACACACACACACCUAAUAGCUGAUAACCAAAUUCAGCAAGGUUUCAGGAUAUAAGAUUAAUGUACAAAAAUCAUUUGUAUUUCUGUACACUAACAGUGAAAAAUUUGAAAAUGAAAUUUAGAAAACAGUUUCAUUUACAGUAGUAUCAAAAAGAAUUCUUAGGGAUUAUCUUUUUACAGAGAAGUACAGGACUUAUCCACUGAAAACCACAAAAUAUUGUUGAAAGAAAUUAAGGAAGACCUAAAUAAGUAGAAAGACAUCCCAUUUUCAUGGAUUGGAAGACAAUAAUAAGAUGGCACUACUCCCCAAAUUGAUCUAAAAGUUCAACACAAUCCCAAGCAAAAUCCCAGAUGCCUUUUUUUUUUUUUUUUAAAGAAAUGGACAAGCAGGGGUGCACGGGUGGCCAGGCCAGUUGAGCGUCUGACUCUUGAUAUCAGCUUGGGUUAUGAUCUCAACACGUUCAUGAGUUUAAGCCCCACAUCAGGUUCCAUGCUGACAGUGCAAAGCCUGCUUGCGAUUCUCUCUCUGUCUCAAAAUAAGUAAACUUAAAAAAAAGGACAAGCAGAUUUUAAAAUUCAUAUGGAAUUGCAAGGGACCUUAAAUAGCCAAAACAGUCUUUAAAAAGAUCAAAGAUGGAGAAGUCACAUUUCCCUAUUUCAAGCCUACUACAAAUCUACAAUAAUCCAGAUAGUGUGCUAUUAGCAUAAGGAUAAACCUGUAGAUCAGUGGAAUAGAAUCGAGAUUCCAGAAGUAAACUCAUCAACUAUGGCCUAUGGAUUUUCAACAGAAGUCCCAAGAUCACACAAUGGGGAAAAGAUGAUUUCCACAAAUGGUGCUCAAAAAACUGAAAAUCCACAUGCAAGAGAAUGAAUUAGAUCCCUGCCUUAUACCAUAUACAAAAGUUAACUCAGUGGAUACAAGGCCUAACUGUAAGAGCUUAAGUCAGAAAACUCUUAAAACAUAGGUGUAAAUCUUUGUGACUUUGUAUAAUGCAAUAGUUUCUUAGCUAUGACAUCAAAAGCACAAGCAACAAAAUAAAAAAUAGAUCAAUUGAACUAUACCAAAGUGAAAAACUUUUAUGUGUCAAUAUGUAUAUCAAGAGAGUGAAAAGACAAUACACAGAGUGGGAGAAAAUAUUUACAGACUACAAUUGGAUAAAGGUCUAGUAUCCAUGAUAUAUAAGGAAUUCUUACAACCUAAAAAUUAAAACAGCCUAAUUAAAAAUGGCGAAAGGUAUUGAAGAGACCUUCUCCAACAAAGAUCUACAAAUGGCCAGGAAGUACAUGAGAAGAUGCUCAACAUCAUUUGUCAUUAGAGAAAUGCACAUCAAAACCACAGUUAGAUACCACUUCACUCCUACUAGGAUUGCUGUAAUGAAAAAAGACAAUACAAGUGUUAGUGAGAAUGUGGAGAAACUGGAACAUUGCUGAUAGGAAUGUAAGGUGGUGCAUUUGCUUUGGAAAAUAGUUGGAUGGUUCCUCAAAACAGAAUUAUCAUAUGAUGCAGCAAUCUACUCCUAGAUAUAGAUCCAAGAGAACUAAAAACAUAUGCUCCAACAAAAACCGGUACAUGAAUAUUCAUAACAGAAUUACUCAUAAUACUCCAACAGUGGGAACAACCCAAAUGCCCGUCAACUGAUACAUGGAUAAACAAAAUAUGGUAUAUUCAUACAAUGCAAUAUUAUUUGACCAUAAAAACAAAGGAUGUUCAUAAAAACAAAUGCUACACAUGGAUGAAAUCUUGAAAACAUGCUAAGUGAAAGAAGCCAGACACAAAAGGUCACAGAUUAUAUAAUUCCAUUCAUAUGAAAUGUCCAGAAUAAGCAAAUCCAUAAAGGCAGAUUAGUGGUCACUGGGGAGCUAGGGGGAGCUGAGGGGAGAGGGGAAUCAGGAGUGACUGUUUCAUGGAUAUGAGGUGAUUUUUUGUUAAGUUUUUUUAAUGUUUAUUUUGAUUUUUGAGAGAGAGAGAGAGUGCGAGUAGGGGAGGGGCAGAGAGACGGAGACACAGAAUUCAAAGCAGGCUCCAGGCUCUGAGCUGUCAGUACAGAGUCCGAUGCGGGGCUCAAACCCAUGGACCAAGAGGUUAUAACCUGAGCCAAAGUCAGACGCUUAACUGACUGAGCCACCCAGGCCCCCCAAUAUGGGGUGAUUUUUGAGGAUGAUGAAAAUGUUCUGCAGUUAGUUAGUGGUGAUCGUUGCUCAUAUUUACGAACAAUCUAAAACCCACUAAAUUGUACACUUUAAAAUGGUGAACUUCACCGAAGAGAUUAUAUAGAUGAAAAGUGAGCACAUGAAAAUAUGUUCAACAUAUUAAGGAAAUGCAAUUUAAAGCCAUUGUGAUAGGGGCACCUGGGUGGUUCAGCCAGUUAAGCGUCUGACCUUGGCUCAGGUCAUGAUCUCACGGUUCGUGGGUUCGAGCCCUGCGUUGGGCUCUGUGCUGACAGCUCAGAGCCUGGAACCUGCUUCAGAUUCUGCGUCUCCCUCUUUGCCCCUCCCCUACUCACACUCUGUCUCUCUCUCUGUCUCUCUCUCUCUCAAAACUAAGUAAACAUUAAUAAAAAAUUAAAAAAAUAAAGCCAUCGUGGUAAGAAAGAGGAGCCCAAAGAGAUAGGAUGCCUAAAUGUUAUAUGAUGUCUGAGAAGGGAUCCUGAAACAGAAAAAGGACCUUCGCAAAAAUCUAAGGAAAUCUGAAUGAAGUAUGGAGCUUAGUUAAUAAUAGUGUGUGAGUUUUGGUUCAUUAGUUGUCCCAAGUGAACCAUGUUAAAAAGGGUUAGUUUGGGGGGAUGAUGAAGCCGUUCUUCAUCUUGACUGUGAUUAAUCUAUACAUGUGUUAAAAUUCAUAAAAAUGCACAACAAAAAUAGUGAAUUUUACUGAAUGUUUUUUUUUUUUUUUAAAUUUUUUUUUUUUUCAACGUUUAUUUAUUUUUGGGACAGAGAGAGACAGAGCAUGAACGGGGGAGGGGCAGAGAGAGAGGGAGACACAGAAUCGGAAACAGGCUCCAGGCUCUGAGCCAUCAGCCCAGAGCCCGACGCGGGGCUCGAACUCACGGACCGCGAGAUCGUGACCUGGCUGAAGUCGGACGCUUAACCGACUGAGCCACCCAGGCGCCCCAUUGAAUGUUAAUUAAAAAAAAAAUAAAAUGUUUAAAUGGCUUGGAGGAAUUGGAGAGUAACUAAGAAUCAGUAGAACCCAGACAUUUGAUCCUUGAAAGACGUGAACUGCACUGGAUGAGAUCUGUUUCCAAAACUUUCUCCUUAGGACGCUCCCCAGUCCGCAAGGUGUGGGAUGGCUAGAACUCAUGCAGAAAGCCACAGACUUCUUGGCUUGAGAUAGAAGUGGACUUGGUAGGGGAGGGGCGGGGGGAUGGGUGAAGGUAGUCGAAAGGUACAAACUCCCAGUUAUAAAAUAAUAAGUCCUGGGAAUGUGAAGUACAUAUGGCAACUAUAGUUUUUUACGAAAAGAUAUUGGUGGAUAAAGUUCAAUGCUGUCAGAGCAGCCGGAUAUUGAGGGAGAAAACCCAGAGAGGAGGAAGCUGAAGAGAAGAAAUCCCCUAAAUCUGCGUAUGAAAUCCCUCAAUUCCUUGUCCAGUGGAAAGCAACAGCUCAAAGGCAGGAAGCAAAAGGCAGAUAUUUCAACUGCUGCCUGCCACAAGAGAGACAGAAUUUGUAGUUUGAUUUUCAUAAACUCAGAAGAGCUUGGACUGUCCACUGAAAUCCCAAAAGGGCCAUGUUCUGGAAGACCAAGUGGCAGGACUAAGAAAUUCACUUUAAUAAUAAUGGGGAAACUUAAACUCACCAUGACGAAGGUUGAACCAAAACUAUACAAAUACAAGGUCAAGUUCAAGCUAUUUUUUUUAAUUUCAAUGCUUUUCUUUUUAAGUGUUUAUUUUUGAGAGAGACAGAAGUGAGCAGGAGAGGAGCAGAGAAAGAGGGAGAUACAGAAUCUGAAGCAGGCUCCAAGUUGUCAGCACAGAGCCCAAUGCAGGGCUUGAACUCACAAACCAUGAUCAUGACCUGAACCGAAGUCAGACACUUAACCGACUGAGCCACCCAGGUGCCCCAAGUUCAAGUUACUAAUUUGACUGUCUACUAAUACAAAAAUCAAUGUUCUUCAGAAGAUAAAAGAAUCCAGAAUCCGUAUAAUGUAUCAUCCCCAAUGUCCAGUAUAGAAUUUUUUUAAAUCCUAGACUGCUCCCCCCACUGCAAAUGUAAUUCAGUGUUAAUAGAAAGGUCAGACAGUAGCAGUAAAUACUAAGACCACCCAAAUGUUGGUGGGGGAGGGGUGUCUUUGAAGCAGCUAUUAUAAAUAUCUACAAAAGAGUUUAAGGAAAAGAGUGCUAAUGAAUACAUGAAGGAGAAAUCUUAAUACAGAAAAAAAUACUUAAAAAAUAGAAAUCAAGAACUGAAAAUAAAAUUAAAAAUUCAGUGAGUGAGUUUAACAGCAAAUUAAUGAUGUCCAAAGAAAGGGUCAAUGAAAGAAAAUAUUGAGAAGAGACUGAGAAAAAAAUAUUGAAGAAAAAUGACCUAUUAAUAUUUAGGUGAUGGCAUUAAUUGGAGCUCCGGGAGGGGAGGAGAAAGGAAACAGGGUAGAAAAAAUGUGAUGAAUUAAUGGCUACAUAUAUAUGUAUGUAUGCAUAUAUAAUUUGUUUCCCUAUAUCUUGUAGACAAAAAAUUUCAGAUUCAAAAUCUCAGGGAAGCAUAAGAUAGGUAAAUAUGAAUAAAACCACUCUUAGGCAUGUCACAAUCAAACUGUUGAAAAGAGAGAUAAAGAGAAAAUAUUGAAAGUGGCCUAAGAUGACAACCACAUGACAUGUUGGAGAACAAUGUUUUCCGUUCUCAUGGACUUCUCACCUGAAACCAUGAAGGUCAGGCGAUAGUGGGGGAAUCUUCAAAGUUCUGAAAGAAAAACCCAUUAAUACGGAAUUCUGUAUCCAAUAGGAUGAAUGAAAAUGAUAUCAGAGAAAACCUCAGACCGUCAUGAAUGAAUAAAGAGGACAAACAAAAACCAGAACAGUUCCAGUGGCUACCAGAGAAGAGGUGGAUGGAAGGAUGGGUGAAAUAGAUAAAUGCAAUUAAGAGUACUCACCUUGACGAGCCCUGAGAAAGGCACAGAAUCGUCAGAUCAUCAUGUUGUACGCCUGAAACUAAUAUAACAUUGUAUGUUAAAUAUACUUCAAUUUGGUAUAUGUCUGAGUAGAUAUAGAAGACUACUUUGUCUUCCUUCUCUAAAAGGACACUUUUUUUUUUUUAAUGUUUAUGGAUUUCUUUUGAGAGACUACGCGCAUGUGCAUGUGCUGUGCUGUCAACCAGAGCCCUGUGCAGGGCUCGAUCUCACAAAGUGUGAGAUCAUGACCUGAGCCAAUAUCAAAAGUGGGAUGCUUAACCGACUAGGCCACCCGAGACGCCCCAAGAUAGGACACUUUAAAGCAAAAAUUAUAACAUUACCUUGUGGCUUAUAAAGUAUGUAAGUAUAAAGUAUGUAAAGUAUAACAUGUAUAACAAAUACAGCAUAAAAAAUAAAGUAGGGGGGGGCGCCUGGGUGGCGCAGUCGGUUAAGCGUCCGACUUCAGCUCAGGUCACGAUCUUGCGGU